GAGGCUGCAGGGACCAGCCCUUUGUGGAGAAGCCCAGGCGGCCUAGAAUCCAGUGUCGUCCGUGAGUGCUUGGCUGGUGUUCAAGUGCAUCUUCCAGCCUGAGACCGCGUGGACUCGCUCAUCGUGAGGGCGAGAGGAGGAUAAGCCCAUUGGGCUGUCGGCUGAGAGUGAGGUGCGGGAUUGCUGAUGAAAUCCUUGGCAUCGUCGGAGAUCUCAUCGAAUGCCUCGUCGUCGAAGUCCCAGGUGGCUGAGGUAACGUUGGCCAAGGUUUCGUUAUCGUUGUCUCCCAUGAAGGGGGAAAGGCCACUGACUCUGGAGAGACAAGAGCAGGACAGCAGGUGUGGCUAGGAGAGGGCGCGACGACCAGAUGAGGGAAUUGAGGCACAGCCCAGGCUCAAGUCACCUGCCCAAAGAUUCACAGCCAGUGAGAUUGGAAGCCAGGUAUCUGCCUCUAGAGCCUGUCCUCUUAAAUGCUAUACUAUCCUAACAUUUCUGUAAAGAUGAAGUAAAUUGCAGUGUUCAGCACUGGCACCAGGCCUGGUCCACAGUAAGGAGGCGGUCCAUGCCCGGAGAUCUCAUGCAGUUCUGCUGGGUUCCCUCCACUGCCUUACCAAGCUGUGAGUGCAGGAAUGACUUUGUGACCAGCAGCUUAAGCCAAAUAAACUUUAUAAGGUAAAGAAUUUCAAAACAAAA
rnacentral:lncRNA from 1 species